UACGUAGGGCGCAAGCGUUAUCCGGAAUUAUUGGGCGUAAAGAGCUCGUAGGCGGUUUGUCGCGUCUGCCGUGAAAGUCCGGGGCUCAACUCCGGAUCUGCGGUGGGUACGGGCAGACUAGAGUGAUGUAGGGGAGACUGGAAUUCCUGGUGUAGCGGUGAAAUGCGCAGAUAUCAGGAGGAACACCGGUGGCGAAGGCGGGUCUCUGGGCCGUAACUGACGCUGAGGAGCGAAAGCAUGGGGGGCGAACAGG
rnacentral:rRNA from 1 species